rnacentral:rRNA from 1 species
GGUAUAAGGAAUAGCCUUUGGAAACGAAGAGUAAUACCUUAUACGCCCUUCGGGGGAAAGAUUUAUCGGUAUCGGAUUAGCCCGCGUAAGAUUAGAUAGUUGGUGGGGUAAUGGCCUACCAAGUCUACGAUCUUUAGCUGGUUUUAGAGGAUGAUCAGCAACACUGGGACUGAGACACGGCCCAGACUCCUACGGGAGGCAGCAGUGGGGAAUCUUAGACAAUGGGCGCAAGCUUGAUCUAGCCAUGCCGCGUGAGUGAAGAAGGCCUUAGGGUCGUAAAACUCUUUCGCCAGAGAUGAUAAUGACAGUAUCUGGUAAAGAAACCCCGGCUAACUCCGUGCCAGCAGCCGCGGUAAUACGGAGGGGGUUAGCGUUGUUCGGAAUUACUGGGCGUAAAGCGCACGUAGGCGGACUGGAAAGUUGGGGGUGAAAUCCCGGGGCUCAACCUCGGAACUGCCUCCAAAACUAUCAGUCUAGAGUUCGAGAGAGGUGAGUGGAAUUCCAAGUGUAGAGGUGAAAUUCGUAGAUAUUUGGAGGAACACCAGUGGCGAAGGCGGCUCACUGGCUCGAUACUGACGCUGAGGUGCGAAAGUGUGGGGAGCAAACAGGAUUAGAUACCCUGGUAGUCCACACCGUAAACGAUGAAUGCCAGUCGUCGGCAAGUAUACUUGUCGGUGACACACCUAACGGAUUAAGCAUUCCGCCUGGGGAGUACGGUCGCAAGAUUAAAACUCAAAGGAAUUGACGGGGGCCCGCACAAGCGGUGGAGCAUGUGGUUUAAUUCGAAGC